UAGGGAAUAUUGCACAAUGGAGGAAACUCUGAUGCAGCGACGCCGCGUGAGUGAUGAAGGCCUUCGGGUCGUAAAGCUCUGUCGCAAGGGAAUAACACAACGAAUGUACCUUGCAAGAAAGGAUCGUCUAACUUCGUGCCAGCAGCCGCGGUAAGACGAGGGAUCCUAGCGUUGUUCGGAAUUAUUGGGCGUAAAGCGGGUGUAGGUGGCUUUGUAAGUCAGGUGUGAAAGCCUAGGGCUCAACCCUAGAAGUGCAUUUGAUACUGCAAAGCUUGAGUGCUAGAGAGGUUACUAGAAUUGUUGGUGUAGUGGUGAAAUACGUAGAUAUCAACAGGAAUACCGGUGGCGAAGGCGGGUAACUGGCUAGACACUGACACUCAGACCCGAAAGCGUGGGGAUCAAACA
rnacentral:rRNA from 1 species